rnacentral:rRNA from 1 species
GCAUAUCAAUAAGCGGAGGAAAAAAAACUAACAAGGAUUCCCCUAGUAACUGCGAGUGAAGCGGGAAAAGCUCAAAUUUAAAAUCUGGCAGUCUCNGAUUGUCCGAAUUGUAGUCUGGAGAAGUGUUUUCCGUGUUGGACCGUGUACAAGUCUCUUGGAAUAGAGCGUCAUAGAGGGUGAGAAUCCCGUCUUUGACACGGACUGCCAAUGCUAUGUGAUGCGCUCUCAAAGAGUCGAGUUGUUUGGGAAUGCAGCUCAAAAUGGGUGGUAAAUUCCAUCUAAAGCUAAAUAUUGGCGAGAGACCGAUAGCGAACAAGUACCGUGAGGGAAAGAUGAAAAGCACUUUGGAAAGAGAGUUAAACAGUACGUGAAAUUGCUGAAAGGGAAACGCUUGAAGUCAGUCGCGUUGUUCAGAACUCAGCCUGGCUUUCGCUUGGUGCAUUUUCUGAAUGACGGGCCAGCAUCAAUUUUGACCGGUGGAUAAAAGCCUUUGGAAUGUGGCACCUUCGGGUGUGUUAUAGCCUUUGGUUGCAUGCAUCGGUUGGGAUUGAGGAUCUCAGCACGCCUUUAUGGUCGGGGUUCGCCCACGCUCGUGCUAGGAUGCUGGCGUAAUGGCUUUAAACGACCCGUCUUGAAACACGGACCAAGGAGUCUAACAUGCCUGCGAGUGUUUGGGUGGAAAACCCGAGCGCGGNAUGAAAGUGAAAGUUGGGAUCUCUGUCAUGGGGAGCACNGACGCCCGGACCAGACCUUCUGUGACGGUUCCGCGGUAGAGCAUGUAUGUUGGGACCCGAAAGAUGGUGAACUAUGCCUGAAUAGGGUGAAGCCAGANGNAACUCUGGUGGANGCUCGUAGCGAUUCUACGUGCAAAUCGAUCGUCAAAUUUGGGUAUAGGGCGAAAGACUNAUCGAANNANNNNGNAGCUGNNUNCUGNNNNAGUUUCCCUCNNGAUANCAAGUACCGUGAGGGAAAGAUGAAAAGCACUUUGGAAAGAGAGUUAAACAGUACGUGAAAUUGCUGAAAGGGAAACGCUUGAAGUCAGUCGCGUUGUUCAGAACUCAGCCUGGCUUUCGCUUGGUGCAUUUUCUGAAUGACGGGCCAGCAUCAAUUUUGACCGGUGGAUAAAAGCCUUUGGAAUGUGGCACCUUCGGGUGUGUUAUAGCCUUUGGUUGCAUGCAUCGGUUGGGAUUGAGGAUCUCAGCACGCCUUU